UUUUCCUUCAGUUUUCAUCAUAAUUUCCUGUUCACCCCGUGAAGCAAGUACUGUCAUUCUGUCAGAAUGCUCCUCUGCUUCUAGAAAAUGGUGUAGGGAAAGAGUGAUGGGAGCUGUUCCCAAGGAGCUGUCCAUAGUUACAGGAGUUCUGGAUUGCAUCACGAAGGCUACUGGACCUCUUGAGCAGAGUCAGGACUUGCUUCCCCAACUGAUGGCUGUGGGAGAUGGGCUGGAAGCAGGCUGGCUGUUCUGGAGAAAGCAGCCACUCCAAGAACUCUUGUGCAUUUUUGUAUUGGUCGCAGCU